AAGGGUUUAGUUGAACAGUUGCUAUUGUAUAGAACAGUUGGUGAAGGGUUUUGCAGAUUUUCAGAGAGAUAUUUGAAUUUAGCUUUGUUCUUUUGCUCUUUUUUCUUGAAUUUGAGGUUGGGAGUUUGGAAUUUCAGGUCUUCGGGGAGAGCGAUGGAUUUCAAUGUGAUCUUUAGUCUUUCUUCAUGAACUGGAAGUGGGUAUUUGGAAUUAUAGUUUUCUUUUUUUCCGAUAGAGAUUUGAAUUUUAGAUGUGUUGCUCUUUCCAUGUGAAUCUGAUUUUCUUCUAACAUCUUUCUCACUGUAGAUGGGGUGUUAAGAAGCUUCAAAUCAUGAAAAUUUUUGUCACGAUCUUGUCGAAUGCAGGUCUUGGGAUGGCCAUGUUUAAUCUCGGUAAGAUCAUUGAUAUGCUCAUCAUAUCAUUGAUAUGCUCAUCAUGUUCAGUCUCGGUAAGAUCAUUGAUAUGCUCAUUCGAUGUGAGGGGUGUCAUCAAGAAAUAUGACAGUCCCGAACAAAUUCUUGAAGAAUUCUUUCAUUUAAGACUUGAGUUCUAUGUAAAGAGAAAGGAGAGCUUUGAUCUAGGCCCCCCAUUUUUUCUUUUUGGUAAUUGAGAAGAUGGUAGUAUUGACUUGCUACUUUCGUGCAGAAAGUAAUGUUGGAUAAUCUUGAAAUAAAGCUGUUGAGAUUGUCUAACAAAGUCAGAUUCAUCAUUGGGGUGGUAGAAGGAGAGAUUAUUGUGAGUAACAGGAAGAGAGCAGAUUUGGUCCUCGAGUUGCAGCAC